rnacentral:rRNA from 1 species
CCUACGGGAGGCAGCAGUGGGGAAUAUUGCACAAUGGGGGGAACCCUGAUGCAGCGACGCCGCGUGGGUGAAGAAGCGCCUCGGCGCGUAAAGCCCUGUCAGCAGGGAAGAAAAUGACGGUACCUGAAGAAGAAGCCCCGGCUAACUACGUGCCAGCAGCCGCGGUAAUACGUAGGGGGCAAGCGUUAUCCGGAUUGACUGGGUGUAAAGGGGGCGCAGACGGGGAUGCAAGCCAGGAGUGAAAGCCCGGGGCUCAACCCCGGGACUGCUCUUGAAACUGCGUGGCUGGAGUGCAGGAGGGGCAGGCGGAAUUCCUGGUGUAGCGGUGAAAUGCGUAGAUAUCAGGAGGAACACCGGUGGCGAAGGCGGCCUGCUGGACUGCAACUGACGUUGAGGCCCGAAAGCGUGGGGAGCAAACAGGAUUAGAUACCCUAGUAGUC